AUUUUUAAUGGGCAAUCUUAGCUCCACCCACACAAUUUGUGAGUCAUGAUAAGCUAAUGAAGAAACCUUUGAUCUCUGCAAAGUGAUAAACAGUUCAUGAAUUUUGUGCCUCAAGAGUUGUCUACCCAAAUAGGGCUGUCUGGUCAAGCUAGCUCUGAGACUAUCUGCCUGUUUAGGUAACAAUAAUAAACUAUUAACAGUUAUAACAAGUGUACAACCAGCUAGCUACGUGUGCUCACCUACUGUGCAGAAUUGUGUGUUGUGCAUGAGAGCCUUGUAUCUAGAUACUAUAGCCUCAACUAUACAGUUACUAUAGAGCUGCACACACGACAUGAAUCAAGAGUCUAUUGCUAUUAAGUACAGAUAACUAGGUCUCCCAAAGAUGAUGAAUUGUUGAGACUGUGUGUUGUGGUUAAAUUCCAAGGCCUAGUGGCUGACGUAUACAGAUAUGAAGCUAUCAGAGAUAUUGCAAGCGUUUCAUGGCCUCGAGGCGUGCGAUCGUGUGGACCUCAUCUGUCGAAUGCUACGUCACUGUCUGGCAUUUGAAUCUUGAUUCUUUGGUACCGUAUUAUUAGACGCCUCUAAAGAGCAUUAUAAAUCACAAGUGAAUAAAAUUGAGAUACAUGCCAACAGAGUGAGCUACUACAAGCCCUUCCAAGAGUCAGGCCUCUCUCACCAAGUAUGUCUCAAACUGUGCAGUUCUCUGUCUGUUGUGCAUUCGGAUAAUCGACCUGUGGCUGAGGUCGUAUUCCAACUACUCAACGAUAAGAAAGUGCAGACGUUUUUUGAGGAUUGCAAUGAGCUCAAAGUGCUGAAGGAUUUCCGCCUCCUCUACGUGAUGGCUGUGAAUCACCCUGCUCUCUCAUUGAACCAGCGUCAGCUACUCAUGUACACAUACCUGCAACGAAUGGACCUGCUCUUUAUAGAGAAGUCAAAGUACUCCUUCUCUGGAAGCUUCUCAGGAUCUGUGGAGUGGCCCAGUUCAUGCACGUGCUGAGACAGAGGAUCCAGCUGGGGGCCACUGAGUCCAUCUACCUCAUGGUCAAUGGCCUCACUCCCACCACCAGCUGGAUCACACCGACUACAGGAGAGUCGACUGUGACCUGUUUGUAGAAGAGCAUCAGUUUAAGGGAGGCCUUGUGUGGCUUCACUUGCACUCUGUACCCCCUGGACGGGAGGAGCGUGCGUGUGUCCAAGUCACCAGGAGCAGUGCUGUCACCAGGUGAGUAGGUGGCUGGUAGGAGGAGGAUUGUGUAUAGGGCUGCCUUUGAGAGGAGUGUACAUACAAGCUAUUAUAGUGUGUCCCAGCCUUACAAGCUGAGGGGACAUGUGUUAGGGUUAGGUACCUUAGGACUUUUGAUCUGGCAGCUUUAACAAGACUUAGGCUAUUUAUUAUCAAGGGCGUACACCCUUGUUAUUAUCCAUGAGAACCAAAGCAACUGAAUUGAAAGUGAUAGCUAAGAGUACCAGUGUGAAGGAGGGAGGUUCAUUGAGGUGUACUGGCAUGGCUGUCUUAUAUAUAGUGACAUCCUUCUUGUUCUUCAAUACACUGUAGAGGUGGUGUGGCCAAAUUGGCAAAUACCGUAUAGCGGAUAUUUCGAGGGUAUAAAUGUUUGUGGUUUUCGCUGAUCAAGCAUCUACCGCGAACAUUUAUACCCACGAAUUUAAUAUCGCACGCAUACACGCUGCAGAAAGACUGCUAUUCUGAAUUCCCGAAAACCUUUUAAACGGUCAAUCCGCGAAAGUGUAUACCCUCGAAAUAUACCCACUAUACGGUAGUUUUAUCACUCAAAUAUGAAAUUUGAUGAUAUCAUUUUAGAGAAGAAGAUCUUUUGGAACGGGUCAUAAUUAGGGUUAGGUAUAGGACUUUUGAUCUUGUUAUUUCUAUUUUCACUUCAUGUGUAUGUAUUUAUAGUCUUGUGGUCAUGUGCAAUACUAACAGUGGUUGUGUUGUGUGGGCAGUAUAUUGUACGUAGGUACAUGUACAGUUGCUAAAAAGCUACAAACACUCUGCCAAUCUAAUUACAACAUACUGAAAGUAGUAUCAAUUGAGUUUACAAUGUGUGUGUACAUGUACAGUACUGUGUGUGUGUGUGUGUGUGUGUGUGUGUGUGUGUGUGUGUGUGUGUGUGGUGUGUGGUGUGUGUGUGUGUGUGUGUGUGUGUGUGUGUGUGUGUGUGUCCAGGGUCUGGAGGGUGAGGGGAUGCCAGUGUUCAGGAGGCCUCAUGUCAAGGGCAACCUCUAUGUUCAGUUCACCAUCCAAUUCCCUGACUCUGCUUUCCUCGAGGAGAGUCAACUAAAGGAGUUGAAGUGUUUCCUGCCCACAAGACCUGGCCCCACCAGCACUGGACCCAGAGGCAGAGGAAGUGGAUAUGAUAGAGAGUGAGGGGACGAGGGGAGUGGGCGGGGCACAAGGGGGUGGAGCCAUAUACGAUGAAGAUGAGGAGGAUGAAGGAGUGGGCAGGGCACAGAGGGUGGGCUGCUCUCAACAAUGACACUCUUAGGAACUCUAUAUUCACUGCUUUGAUUGUAUUUAUGGACUGGUUUUGUGGUUAUUGCUAUUGUUCUAAUUAUG